AUUGAACGCUGGCGGCAGGCCUAACACAUGCAAGUCGAACGGUAACAGGAAGCAGCUUGCUGCUUCGCUAACGAGUGGCGGACGGGUGAGUAAUGUCUGGGAAACUGCCUGAUGGAGGGGGAUAACUACUGGAAACGGUAGCUAAUACCGCAUAACGUCGCAAGACCAAAGAGGGGGACCUUAGGGCCUCUUGCCAUCGGAUGUGCCCAGAUGGGAUUAGCUAGUAGGUGGGGUAACGGCUCACCUAGGCGACGAUCCCUAGCUGGUCUGAGAGGAUGACCAGCCACACUGGAACUGAGACACGGUCCAGACUCCUACGGGAGGCAGCAGUGGGGAAUAUUGCACAAUGGGCGCAAGCCUGAUGCAGCCAUGCCGCGUGUAUGAAGAAGGCCUUCGGGUUGUAAAGUACUUUCAGCGGGGAGGAAGGGAGUAAAGUUAAUACCUUUGCUCAUUGACGUUACCCGCAGAAGAAGCACCGGCUAACUCCGUG
rnacentral:rRNA from 1 species